rnacentral:lncRNA from 1 species
CUGAGACAUAGCCCUCCUUGCCCUUCAUUCAGCAAUGCAGCAAGAUCUUUGGGAGACCAAACGUGCCUGGAGAUGAGUUUAUUCUCAGAGUGUAUGAGGUGCAGGCUGGAGAGAUGCAGAGCUGAGCUGCUGGCAUAUGCCCUACCCAAAUUUACUCCUGCCCUCAGUAUUCCUCCAAGGGCAUUUUUCACGCAAGCACACCUGGUCACCCAUUCAUACCAACAGGAAACCAAGAAGAGAUGGAAUUGAUUAAUUAAAACAAAGUUAUUCAGGUCUCAAAUAGAAAUUUGGGCUGCUGAAGACUGAGA